rnacentral:rRNA from 1 species
AGAGUUCGAUUAUGGCUCAGGAUGAACGCUGACAGAAUGCUUAACACAUGCAAGUCUACUUGAUCCUUCGGGUGAUGGUGGCGGACGGGUGAGUAACGCGUAAAGAACUUGCCCUGCAGUCUGGGACAACAUUUGGAAACGAAUGCUAAUACCGGAUAUUAUGUGAGUUUCGCAUGGAAUUCAUAUGAAAGCUAUAUGCGCUGCAGGAGAGCUUUGCGUCCUAUUAGCUAGUUGGUGAGGUAACGGCUCACCAAGGCGAUGAUAGGUAGCCGGCCUGAGAGGGUGAACGGCCACAAGGGGACUGAGACACGGCCCUU